UGCAGUCAACGGUAUCACAGAGAGCUUGCUCUCGGGUGACGAGUGGCGGACGGGCGAGUAAUGUCUGGGAAACUGCCCGAUGGAGGGGGAUAACUACUGGAAACGGUAGCUAAUACCGCAUAACGUCGCAAGACCAAAGUGGGGGACCUUCGGGCCUCACACCAUCGGAUGUGCCCAGAUGGGAUUAGCUAGUAGGUGGGGUAACGGCUCACCUAGGCGACGAUCCCUAGCUGGUCUGAGAGGAUGACCAGCCACACUGGAACUGAGACACGGUCCAGACUCCUACGGGAGGCAGCAGUGGGGAAUAUUGCACAAUGGGCGCAAGCCUGAUGCAGCCAUGCCGCGUGUAUGAAGAAGGCCUUCGGGUUGUAAAGUACUUUCAGCGAGGAGGAAGGCAUUAAGGUUAAUAACCUCAGUGAUUGACGUUACUCGCAGAAGAAGCACCGGCUAACUCCGUGCCAGCAGCCGCGGUAAUACGGAGGGUGCAGCGUUAAUCGGAAUUACUGGGCGUAAAGCGCACGCAGGCGGUUUGUAAGUCAGAUGUGAAAUCCCCGGGCUCAACCUGGGAACUGCAUUUGAAACUGGCAAGCUUGAGUCUCGUAGAGGGGGGUAGAAUUCCAGGUGUAACGGUGAAAUGUCGUAGAGAUCUGGAGGAAUACCGGUGGCGAAGGCGUCCCCCUGGACGAAGACUGACCCUCAGGUGCGAAAGCAUGGGGAGCAAACAUGAUUAGAUACCCUGG
rnacentral:rRNA from 1 species